UGGGGAAUUUUGCGCAAUGGACGGAAGUCUGACGCAGCAACGCCGCGUGGGUGAUGAAGGUCUUCGGAUUGUAAAACCCUGUCGUCAGGGAAGAAGUAUUAUUGUCGAACAGGCGAUGAUAUUGACGGUACCUGGAGAGGAAGCCACGGCUAACUCUGUGCCAGCAGCCGCGGUAAUACAGAGGGGGCAAGCGUUAUUCGGAAUUAUUGGGCGUAAAGGGCGCGUAGGCGGUUCAUCAAGUCAGAUGUGUAAUCCCCGGGCUUAACCUGGGAACUGCAUCUGAGACUGUUGAGCUAGAGUAUUGGAGAGGGCGGCGGAAUUCCACGUGUAGCGGUGAAAUGCGUAGAGAUGUGGAGGAACACCAGUGGCGAAGGCGGCCGCCUGGACAGUAACUGGCGCUGAAGCGCGAAAGUGUGGGUAGCAAACAGGAUUAGAUACCCUGGUAGUCCACACUGUAAACGAUGAACACUUGGUGUGGUGGG
rnacentral:rRNA from 1 species